AUCGCUUCUCGGCCUUUUGGCUAAGAUCAAAGUGUAGUAUCUGUUCUUAUCAGCUUAAUAUCUGAUACGGGUUCAAAUGAACCCCAGAAUAUUAAACUGAUUUUUGGAAUUCGGUGGGAUGUCAAUGCUUGCAUUGAUCCUGCCACGGGUUGACCCGGUAUUGCAGUACCUCCGGGCUCGGCUCACCCCUU
rnacentral:snRNA from 1 species